UUUAAUAUGGCAGAUAAUAAGUGCAAUGGAUUUAAAUUCCUUAAAUAAAGUUUUCUUUUAUUAAAA
rnacentral:tRNA from 1 species